rnacentral:rRNA from 1 species
UACGAGUGGUGCAAACGUUGUUCGGAAUUACUGGGCUUAAAGGGUGCGUAGGCGGCCAUGUAGGUCUGAUGUGAAAUACCACGGCUCAACCGUGGAACUGCGUUGGAUACCGCAUGGCUGGAGUGAGACAGAGGUAAGCGGAACUGAUGGUGGAGCGGUGAAAUGCGUUGAUAUCAUCAGGAACACCGGUGGCGAAAGCGGCUUACUGGGUCUUUACUGACGCUGAUGCACGAAAGCUAGGGGAGCAAACGGGAUUAGAUACCCCGGUAGUCCUAGCUGUAAACGAUGAGUACUAGUCCGUGGGGACCCCCACAUCCUCUCGGACGUAGCGAAAGUGUUAAGUACUCCGCCUGGGGAGUAUGGUCGCAAGGCUG